rnacentral:misc_RNA from 1 species
UGUUAUGAAACUUCGCGUGUUGAGUGUGUUGUGUAAAACAGCUACAAAGCGUUUGGACGACGAAGCUCUCCACAGCCCAUGAUUAGAGCACUGAGGACCUUCCUAUACACUCAUACUCAUUCAACAUCCAAAUCUUGCAGAAGAACCUUCACAUUGAAAGCUGCAUUAUUGCCUCCAAAACAUUUGGAGCCUUUCAGAUUAAAUUCUCUUUGUAUAAGUGAUUUGUCGUACUCUUACCCAACGGUUUAUUGGAAUGCCAAUUGCUUUUAUCUUGGAGUAAGAAAAAUGUCUGAUAAAAAGAAGAGUAAAAGGAAAGCUGACACAGAAGAGUUGGCAAAGGAGAGUUCAAAGAAACAGAAGACUGAGGUCACGGACAGCCAAGGUCAAGGUCAGAAUGGCCUAAUAAAACAGAUCACAGAGUCCCGCAAGAAACUCUGUGAGUCUGUAGCCGAGUUCAAAUUCAACAAGAAGAGAAUUAAAGUGUUGUCCAAAGUUCAAGAUUUCCCUGAUGGGAAGAAUGGGGUUGUGUACUGGAUGUCAAGGGACCAGAGAGUUCAGGAUAACUGGGCAAUGCUGUAUGCCCAGAGACUCGCCCUCAAGAUGGAGGUACCCCUCCACGUCUGUUUUUGUCUGGUUCCAAAGUUUCUAGAUGCCACCAUUCGACAUUACAGGUUCAUUCUGAAGGGACUAGAAGAAGUUGAGAAGGAAUGUCAAGAGCUAGGCAUAUCUUUUCAUCUGUUGAUUGGACAUGCUAAGGAUGUACUGCCUUCAUUUGUAAAAGAUCACCAGAUUGGAGGAGUAAUCACAGACUUCUCUCCCUUGAGGGUGCCAGCAGAGUGGGUGUCUGCAGUCUCAAAGGCUCUGCCCUCAGACAUCCCCUUGUGUCAGGUGGAUGCUCACAAUGUAGUGCCAUGCUGGGAGGCUUCACCAAAACUGGAGUAUGGAGCCAGGACAAUCCGGAACAAGAUACACAAUCAGCUGAGCCAGUACUUGACGGAAUUCCCUCCGGUCUCUAAACACCCACACAAACCUAAGGCAGCAUCUCAGCCAGUUGAUUGGUCCAAAGCCGAGGACAGCUUAGAAGUGGAUCGUAAGGUUACAGAGGUGGACUGGGCCGUCCCAGGAAGUACAGCCGGACUGAACAUGCUGGAGUCCUUCUGCCAUGAGCGACUAAAGUACUUUGGUUCCGACAGGAAUAAUCCAAACAAAAAUGCCCUCAGCAACCUCUCACCUUGGAUCAAAUUUGGUCAGAUAUCUGUUCAGAGGUGCAUUCUGACGGUCCGUCAGUAUCGCAGUAAAUACAAGGAAUCUGUCGAGUCCUACAUAGAGGAGGCCAUCAUACGACGCGAAUUGUCCGACAACUUCUGCUUUUACAACAAAAACUAUGACUCCAUUGAUGGAGCAUACGACUGGGCCAAACAAACACUCAAAGUCCAUGCAGAUGAUGAGAGAAAGUAUGUGUAUACCAAGGAACAGCUGGAGUUUGCCAAGACUCAUGAUGAUUUGUGGAAUGCUGCCCAGGUACUUCAUAGUGUAUAAGCUGUGACCAGCAAUGACAAUGCUUUCGCGAAUCUCGCAAAUUUCUCGCACAUGAAUAAAAGUUGGUUCACAGUAUUUGAUUUUGUCCUUAUCUUCACAUACAUGUAACUGUUCUACAUUCAUAUCACAUGUAUUUGCAUUUCCUUUAAAUGCUCUUGGUACAUGUAGUAAGGAUUCUGCAUUUAACAAAAUAUUGGUUUAAAUCCAAAACAGAAACAGAUGGUUCUGGAGGGGAAAAUGCAUGGGUUCCUCAGAAUGUAUUGGGCCAAGAAGAUUUUGGAGUGGACUCCAAGUCCAAAAGUUGCCUUAGAAACUGCCAUCUACCUCAAUGAUAAAUACUCACUGGAUGGAAGGGACCCCAAUGGUUAUGUUGGUUGUAUGUGGUCCAUUUGUGGAAUUCACGACCAAGGCUGGAAAGAGCGAGACAUUUUUGGGAAAAUCCGCUACAUGAAUUAUGCUGGAUGCAAGAGGAAGUUUGAUGUGGCAGCAUUUGAAAGGAAAUAUAAGAGCAAAUCAAUACAGUGAUGAUAAAUCAUUGUUUUAAAAUUAAGUGGAGACUCUUGCAUGCAUUUUCUACCUCAAUACAUGUGGCCCACGUUAUGUUAUUUCAGUUGUGUUCAAGUUUAUCUAGAGAGUAGUUGUAGGUGUAUUUGUUUAUUUUAUAUCCAUGGUGAUACUUAUCUUCAAUUUGUACUCUAAAUAAAUCAUAUCUCAAAC